rnacentral:rRNA from 1 species
GACGAACGCUGGCGGCGUGCUUAACACAUGCAAGUCGAACGGUGAAGCGCUUGCCUUUUUGGUGGGUGUGGAUGAGUGGCGAACGGGUGAGUAACACGUGAGUAACCUGCCCUCUUCUUCUGGAUAACCUCAUGAAAGUGGGGCUAAUACGGGGUAUUCCGGGUCUGUCGCAUGGCGGGUUUGGGAAAGAUUGCGCCUUUGGGUGUUUUCGGUGGGGGAUGGGCUCGCGGCCUAUCAGCUUGUUGGUGGGGUGAUGGCCUACCAAGGCGGUGACGGGUAGCCGGCCUGAGAGGGUGGACGGCCACACUGGGACUGAGACACAGCCCAGACUCCUGCGGGAGGCAGCAGUGGGGAAUAUUGCACAAUGGGCGCAAGCCUGAUGCAGCGACGCCGCGUGAGAGAUGGAGGCCUUCGGGUUGUGAACCUCUUUCGCCAGUGAAGCAGGCCUGCUCCUGUGUGGGUGGGUUGACGGUAGCUGGAUAAGAAGCGCCGGCUAACUACGUG